rnacentral:rRNA from 1 species
UAAAGCANUAGCGCGGUGGUCCCACCUGACCCCAUGCCGAACUCAGAAGUGAAACGCCGUAGCGCCGAUGGUAGUGUGGGGUCUCCCCAUGCGAGAGUAGGGAACUGCCAGGC